UCUCGAUUGGUCUAGUGGUGAGGAUACCUGCUUGUCAUACUUGACAUAACUCCUACGUUAGGAGUUGUCGACAUAAGUAAACCGCAAUACGCAGGUGGCCGGGGUUCGAUUCCCCGAUCGAGAG